GGCAUAGACCUGGUGGUUUCAAGGCUCUUCUGGCACCCGUGAUGAGGAAAGCUGUGAUUCUGUGGCCCCUCUGUCAUUUCCUGGACCUUCGGGCUUCUGAGUCUAUUUGAACUUCAUGGCCAGGUGCCUCUCACUAAUGAAAGGGCCUCCACUGAGAUUUCCUUGGGAACAAAGGAGAGCUCAGUUGUUCUUGAGGCCUCAAAGGGGCCCCUGAGGCAGCCCCGAUGCCCGGCUGUGUGCAAGGACCAGAAGAGUGGCUGCCCAGCCUGGAGGCAGGUGCUGGCUGGACUGACCUCCUGGGACCCACUUAAGCUUUCUACAAACAAUACAUCAUCUGGGCUGAGUGGGAGGUUCUCAGGGGUCUUCUACGGAAGCUGCCUUGUGACUUGGCCCUGAGCUCAGGCAGGGUGGGGACCCUGAGCACCAGAGAGGUCAUUGUUCCGUGAAAGCCAAGGCGGCAACCCCUCCCUCUUCCCCUUCUUGUGCUUGGAACCUCCAGACCCCUGGACUCCCAGGGGAGCCCAGGGAGUCAGUGUAUGAGGUGCUGAAGCCAAGUCCUUCCAGAGCUUGGGGAAAGGUCAGUUGGUUUAUAAAUCACCUGAAUUUCAUCAGGGUCACCAUGGGGGAGCUUCAUGCAUUUUUCA
rnacentral:lncRNA from 1 species